rnacentral:SRP_RNA from 1 species
GCUGGGCGUGGUGGCGCUUGCCUGUAGUCCCAGCUACUCGGGAGGCUGAGGUGGGAGAAUCGCUUGAACCCGGGAGGCAGAGGUUGCAGUGAGCCGAGAUCAUGCCACUGCACUCCAGCCUGGGCAACAAAGCGAGACCCUGUCUCAA